rnacentral:piRNA from 1 species
UGGCUCAGACACACAAGCUAAAGAGAAUGC